GCACUUAGGAGGUGAUUCAGCUGUUGGAUUCAAGUGUGUUGGACCAGGGAGACAUAUAAGAGUUGCAGGACACCGGCCCUCCAGGGCCAGGAUUGCCCACCCCUGCACCAAAGUCAC